GACAGAGGUGCCGAGCGUUAGGCGGAAUCACUGGGCUUAAAGCGUGUGUAGGCGGAUUGGUAAGUACCUUGUGAAAUCCCACGGCUCAACCGUGGAACUGCUUGGUAUACUGCUUAUCUUGAGCCACUUAGGGGCUACCGGAACAAAUGGUGGAGCGGUGAAAUGCGUAGAUAUCAUUUGGAACGCCAAUGGUGAAAACAGGUAGCUGGGAGUGUGCUGACGCUGAGACACGAAAGCCAGGGGAGCGAACGGGG
rnacentral:rRNA from 1 species